UGGUUUGAGAGGAUGAUCAGUCACACUGGAACUGAGACACGGUCCAGACUCCUACGGGAGGCAGCAGUGGGGAAUAUUGCACAAUGGAGGAAACUCUGAUGCAGCAACGCCGCGUGGAGGAUGACACAUUUCGGUGCGUAAACUCCUUUUAUAUAGGAAGAUAAUGACGGUACUAUAUGAAUAAGCGCCGGCUAACUCCGUGCCAGCAGCCGCGGUAAUACGGAGGGCGCAAGCGUUACUCGGAAUCACUGGGCGUAAAGAGCGUGUAGGCGGAUAGAUAAGUCAGAAGUGAAAUCCUAUGGCUCAACCAUAGAACUGCUUUUGAAACUGUUUAUCUAGAGUGUGGGAGAGGUAGAUGGAAUUUCUGGUGUAGGGGUAAAAUCCGUAGAGAUCAGAAGGAAUACCGAUUGCGAAGGCGAUCUACUGGAACAUAACUGACGCUGAGACGCGAAAGCGUGGGGAGCAAACAGGAUUAGAUACCCUGGUAGUCCACGCCCUAAACGAUGUUCACUAGUUGUUGUGAGGCUUGACCUUGCAGUAAUGCAGUUAACACA
rnacentral:rRNA from 1 species